GGGGUGGAGGUGGCUAAGUGAUGUGCAGAGAGGGAGAGAUUUCUGACCUGAGACUGAAUAAUGACUUAUUGUUACAUUAUCUCAAUUCUCUUAUCUAGAAUACAUAGCCUAGUCCUUAAGACCACCUGGAGGAGCAAAUGAAACCAUCAUUUUGAGAGAACUUCAGAAACGGGCUAAGUAUCAGUGUAAAGAAACAGCAUAAAUCAGACGAUCUGGAAUCCAACAAGACAGCAAAAACAAUGGAGACCACAGAACUAUCUCUAGGAUCAAGUGCCCAGACAGGAAUAAACAGGAAAGUUCCUCAGUGGCAGCUUCUAGAGAGCAGGAUGCAGCGAGGAGGGAGGCUGCCAGGAUGGGGAUCCUUUUUAUGUUACACCCUUCUAAACAGCUGGAGUUUCUCUCCGCUUGCCCCAUGCUCCGAUACAUCUAUGCACUACAGAGGUUCAUCAAGUUUCACCAAGAAAGUUUCCAUCUUCACCCUAUAAAAGCCUUCUUUGUCUGCUAUUUUCUCAAGAGUCACAAAGAGCCUUGGAGAUCCACAGCUCACCCCCCUCUCUUAGUGGAAUGAGAAAGCAUUUCCAGAUCUCAGAUCCCUCCACCUGUAAUGCAAAUUUAAUGAACAUUCAGCAAGUCCUCCCCAGGUUAAUGAACUAUUUGCCUAUCAGGGGAGCCUCCCAAGCACAAGUAGCUUCCUCUGUUUGAGCAUCAAAACCCCUUUCAGGUCAAGCAGCCGGUUAGGAAUUUUAGCUUCCUCCCAUUUUACAGUGCAUCAGGAGGUCAGGUCAACAACAUUUCCUUCAUCAAUGACCUUAUGGAACUUC